GGAUUUCCAAUUCAUCGAUUGGAGAGACCUUGAUGCUGGGCUUCUGCGUAUCCUACCUGUGCAAAGCCUUCUCCCCUUCACUAGUGAGAGCAGGGGACUGGAGAAGGCAGGGCUGCUGGCAGGCUUGAGUGAGUGGAUGUUUGCCCUGUGAGAAGUACUGCCAGUUGAUGCCUUUCUACUGAGUCUACUGAGUCUGCUUCUCUACUGGGAGCUGAGGGCUCAGAGGUGGAAGACUUACUAAGCUAACCCAUUAGUGAGAGGGAGACAGAAGACGGAACCCUGGUCUUUAUUCCAGUGUAUCCUGUCCCAUGGAGCACACUAGAAGAGGAUUCUGGACAAAGACAAGAGUAACAAAAAGGCAGGCUGGAGGAGAAAUAAGGCUUCCACCCAAGUGGGCACCACUGGGCUCUGGGUUUAGAGUAAGGCGAUCGAUAGAUAAAAGGGGUAACCCCUUCCAUCAAUAGAUAAGAGGAGUAGACCCUUGGGAACAAAUAUUCUAAGGAUAAAACUGUGACUCAUGGGCUCUGACCCCCAGAUGUGGAACGUUACUCAGACAAGUAUCAGAUGUCUGGGCCGAUUGACAACGCCAUCGAUUGGAACCCUGAUUGGCGACGACUACCCAGCGAGCUCAAGAUUCGAGUGCGGAAAGUCCAGAAGGAGCGGACCACCAUUAUCCUUCCCAAGAGGCCCCCUAAGAGCACAGAGGAUAAGGAGGAGACGAUCCAGAAACUAG
rnacentral:lncRNA from 1 species